GGUUUCUGCCCGUUCUAAGACCGGAUGUUCAUCUAUUCCUUUGAUUCUAUGAACUAUUUCAUAUCCUUCUUAGUUAGUGAGGGAUUGGUUCUCACCUCAAAACACACCCUUCUUUACAUAGGGUGGAGCCUGUGCAAAUCUUCUUUUUCUUUUUCUUGUUAGGCUGGAUCCAUAUUUGACUCUGCCAAAAUGGGGAAUGAGAGGGAGCCUGGAAGACAGGAGGGAGAAAGAGCUUGCUCCUCCUGCAAACACGUUGCUUUUUUCCACCUGGCAGCAUCUGAUUCACCCCAGUAGCAACUGAUUCCGGAAACAGUUGGUUCUCAUAGCAUUGUUUCUACUGCUUAGCUUGUAUUUCCACAUGCUCUGGACCAGCCUUAUUGCUUCUCCUCUGCCCACAAAUUACCAGCCCCAACCAGGCAGGGCUUUUUCUUCAGAGGCCUGGGACCCAGCUCAUUGGGGCCCUGCCUAUAAGUCUCUAGGUUCUCACUUCUCCAACCGCCUCCCUUUGCUUCCUCAGCCCUAGGAAUGCACCAGACUCUGGCCGACACUAAUUUUAGAUUAACUCUAUUGUUCUGUAUUCGCCUUUUCUGGCCUCCAGUACCCAUUAAUCCAAACUCCUUAUUAAACCCCCUCUGUGAAAAUGACUGGAGUAUCUUCUCUUUUCCUGAAUGAUUCAUCUUCCAGCACAUUUCCUGUUUCUUUUUCUCAAGUUAAGGAGAUCUGGUGUUGUCCAUUCAACCCUAGGAAACCUAUGUGACCCAUCUGGCUGUUCUUUACCCACAUGAAGACUGAACUCACCCAAAGUCACAUGGCUGAUAACAGAUGAAGCUGUGGGUCAAAGUCAAGUUCACCUCAUUCUAAAGCAGUCUUUGCCUUCUCCUCCAUAUCACAGAGUAAGUACAAUAAUAAACACUGCAAAUAACUCAAGAGACAACCAAAGGGGAACUCGGAAAGGUGGAAGAGGAAAGUGAGCUGGUUUGAGACCCCAGGACUGGAGGAAUAACCCAGAGGCAGGGCAUUGUAUGACCUCCCAACCUAGGAAGGACGCAAUCCAGGCCAGAUGUUUCCUCAUCCACAGCCUGGCCACAGAAGGCAGCCCAGUGGGCCUGAGAACCCUCCCCCACCCAGAGCUGCCACACAGCUAGGAGGCACCAGAAAGGGAAAUACACCGAAACAAGAGGACCUCAUGCCAGUUGGAUUAGUUUUGUAGGAAACAAUGGAAAAAAAGACCAAAAGGAAAAAA